GACGAACGCUGGCGGCGUGCUUAACACAUGCAAGUCGAACGGUGAAGGGGUCUGCUUUUGUGGGCCCUGGAUGAGUGGCGAACGGGUGAGUAACACGUGAGUAACCUGCCCCCUUCUUCUGGAUAACCGCAUGAAAGUGUGGCUAAUACGGGAUAUUCUGGGUCUGUCGCAUGAUGGGUCUGGGAAAGAUUGCGCCUUUGGGUGUUUUUGGUGGGGGAUGGGCUCGCGGCCUAUCAGCUUGUUGGUGGGGUGAUGGCCUACCAAGGCGGUGACGGGUAGCCGGCCUGAGAGGGUGGACGGUCACACUGGGACUGAGACACGGCCCAGACGCCUACGGGAGGCAGCAGUGGGGAAUACUGCACAAUGGGCGCAAGCCUGAUGCAGCGACGCCGCGUGAGGGAUGGAGGCCUUCGGGGUGUAAACCUCUUUCGCCAGUGAAGCAGGCCUGCUCCUUGUGGGUGGGUUGACGGUAGCUGGAGAAGAAGCGCCGGCUAACUACGUG
rnacentral:rRNA from 1 species